UACGUAGGGAGCAAGCGUUGUCCGGAAUCAUUGGGCGUAAAGGGCGCGCAGGCGGCUGCUCAAGUCAGGCGUGAAAGGCCUGGGCUCAACCCGGGAAUUGCGCUUGAGACUGGGCUGGCUUGAGUGCGGGAGAGGAUGGUGGAAUUCCCAGUGUAGAGGUGAAAUUCGUAGAUAUUGGGAAGAACACCGGGUGGCGAAGGCGGGCUCUGGGCCGAUACUGACGCUGAGGAGCGAAAGCGUGGGGAGCGAACAGG
rnacentral:rRNA from 1 species